rnacentral:tRNA from 1 species
GGGUGCUUAGCUCAGUUGGUUAGAGCAGCCGGCUUUUAACCGGCAGGUCCAGGGUUCGAGUCCCUGAGCGCCUACCA